rnacentral:tRNA from 4 species
GCCGCCGUAGCUCAGCCUGGCCAGAGCGCCGGACUCAUAAUCCGGUCGUCCGGGGUUCAAAUCCCCGCGGCGGCACCA